GAAGAAGUACUGGGGUGAGGUGAUUAGGCAGGACAUGGAACAGUUACAGCUUACCGAGGACAUGACCCUAGAUAGGAAGGUCUGGAGGACGCGAAUUACGGCAGAGGACUAGGGCCAGUUUGGGUCGCUAGCGUAGGAAAUUACUUGGUGGGGGGUUUAUUCAUGUUAUGAUUCCGUGUUCCGUGUUCCAUGUUUUAUUACGAAUCUGUGUGCUUUCCUCUAUUUUAUAUUACUUAUGGGUGCCGUAUUUAUGUUAUGUAAUCUUCUUCUGUGCUUUACUAUGUGUUUGUGUGGUAUCUCGUGCCUUG
rnacentral:lncRNA from 1 species